CAGCCGCCGCGGUAAUACGAAGGGGGCUAGCGUUGUUCGGAAUUACUGGGCGUAAAGCGCACGUAGGCAGAUAUUUAAGUCAGGGGUGAAAUCCCAGAGCUCAACUCUGGAACUGCCUUUGAUACUGGGUAUCUUGAGUAUGGAAGAGGUGAGUGGAAUUCCGAGUGUAGAGGUGAAAUUCGUAGAUAUUCGGAGGAACACCUGUGGCGAAGGCGGCUCACUGGUCCAUUACUGACGCUGAGGUGCGAAAGUGUGGGGAGCAAACAGGAUUAGAUACCCCAGUAGUCCCUGUCUCUUAUAA
rnacentral:rRNA from 1 species